AACGUAGGACGCAAGCGUUAUCCGGAUUCACUGGGCGUAAAGGGUGCGUAGGUGGUUGGGUAAGUCUGAGGUGAAAUCUCCGAGCUUAACUCGGAAACUGCCUUGGAUACUAUCCAGCUUGAGGGUUGGAGGGGGGACUGGAAUUCUCGGUGUAGCAGUGAAAUGCGUAGAUAUCGAGAGGAACACCAGUGGCGAAGGCGAGUCCCUGGACAACUCCUGACACUGAGGCACGAAAGCUAGGGGAGCAAACAGG
rnacentral:rRNA from 1 species